CCGCCUAGAGGUCAUUCUGGGGGCAUUUUACUUGGCGUAAAUACAGGGAUUAUGGAUGUUUUGGCUAGUUCAGAUGUUAAGUUUCACGUUAAACUCCAUAUUCGCAAGAAGGCCGACAACUUCACACGGACCCUCGCCGCCGUGUAUGGGGCAGCCCAGGAUGAGUUCAAGGCCGAUUUUCUUCGUGAAUUGAUUAAUCUGGCGAAAGAUAAUCCCUAUCCCAUUCUUAUAGGUGGGAAUUUCAAUUUGCUUUGAUUUUCAAAUGAGAAAAGCCGCGGUAGGUUUGAUAAUCAUUGGCCUUUCCUUUUCAACGUUGUCAUCGACAGUCUAGAUCUGCGAGAAGUUUCCAUGAUUGGAAGACAAUUCACUUGGAUGAACAGUCUUCCAGAACCGACAUAUGAGAAACUAGAUCACGUUUUAAUAGAUACCGAUUGGUAAUCUAAAUUUCCUAUGGUGUCUAUUCAUUCUCUACUCAGACCACACACCCAUUCUCCUAACUACUGGUUUGUCACGACCACAACAUAG
rnacentral:rRNA from 1 species